rnacentral:rRNA from 1 species
CAUUGGCCUCAAGUCA